rnacentral:rRNA from 1 species
GAUUAAGUUAUUAAGGGCGCACGGUGGAUGCCUUGGCACUAGAAGCCGAUGAAGGACGUUACUAACGACGAUAUGCUUUGGGGAGCUGUAAGUAAGCUUUGAUCCAGAGAUUUCCGAAUGGGGAAACCCAGCAUGAGUUAUGUCAUGUUAUCGAUAUGUGAAUACAUAGCAUAUCAGAAGGCACACCCGGAGAACUGAAACAUCUUAGUACCCGGAGGAAGAGAAAGAAAAUUCGAUUCCCUUAGUAGCGGCGAGCGAAACGGGAAGAGCCCAAACCAACAAGCUUGCUUGUUGGGGUUGUAGGACACUCUAUACGGAGUUACAAAGGACGACAUUAGACGAAUCAUCUGGAAAGAUGAAUCAAAGAAGGUAAUAAUCCUGUAGUCGAAAAUGUUGUCUCUCUUGAGUGGAUCCUGAGUACGACGGAGCACGUGAAAUUCCGUCGGAAUCUGGGAGGACCAUCUCCUAAGGCUAAAUACUCUCUAGUGACCGAUAGUGAACCAGUACCGUGAGGGAAAGGUGAAAAGCACCCCGGAAGGGGAGUGAAAUAGAACCUGAAACCGUGUGCUUACAAGUAGUCAGAGCCCGUUAAUGGGUGAUGGCGUGCCUUUUGUAGAAUGAACCGGCGAGUUACGAUUUGAUGCAAGGUUAAGCAGUAAAUGUGGAGCCGUAGCGAAAGCGAGUCUGAAUAGGGCGUUUAGUAUUUGGUCGUAGACCCGAAACCAGGUGAUCUACCCUUGGUCAGGUUGAAGUUCAGGUAACACUGAAUGGAGGACCGAACCGACUUACGUUGAAAAGUGAGCGGAUGAACUGAGGGUAGCGGAGAAAUUCCAAUCGAACCUGGAGAUAGCUGGUUCUCUCCGAAAUAGCUUUAGGGCUAGCCUCAAGUGAUGAUUAUUGGAGGUAGAGCACUGUUUGGACGAGGGGCCCCUCUCGGGUUACCGAAUUCAGACAAACUCCGAAUGCCAAUUAAUUUAACUUGGGAGUCAGAACAUGGGUGAUAAGGUCCGUGUUCGAAAGGGAAACAGCCCAGACCACCAGCUAAGGUCCCAAAAUAUAUGUUAAGUGGAAAAGGAUGUGGCGUUGCCCAGACAACUAGGAUGUUGGCUUAGAAGCAGCCAUCAUUUAAAGAGUGCGUAAUAGCUCACUAGUCGAGUGACACUGCGCCGAAAAUGUACCGGGGCUAAACAUAUUACCGAAGCUGUGGAUUGUCCUUUGGACAAUGGUAGGAGAGCGUUCUAAGGGCGUUGAAGCAUGAUCGUAAGGACAUGUGGAGCGCUUAGAAGUGAGAAUGCCGGUGUGAGUAGCGAAAGACGGGUGAGAAUCCCGUCCACCGAUUGACUAAGGUUUCCAGAGGAAGGCUCGUCCGCUCUGGGUUAGUCGGGUCCUAAGCUGAGGCCGACAGGCGUAGGCGAUGGAUAACAGGUUGAUAUUCCUGUACCACCUAUAAUCGUUUUAAUCGAUGGGGGGACGCAGUAGGAUAGGCGAAGCGUGCGAUUGGAUUGCACGUCUAAGCAGUAAGGCUGAGUAUUAGGCAAAUCCGGUACUCGUUAAGGCUGAGCUGUGAUGGGGAGAAGACAUUGUGUCUUCGAGUCGUUGAUUUCACACUGCCGAGAAAAGCCUCUAGAUAGAAAAUAGGUGCCCGUACCGCAAACCGACACAGGUAGUCAAGAUGAGAAUUCUAAGGUGAGCGAGCGAACUCUCGUUAAGGAACUCGGCAAAAUGACCCCGUAACUUCGGGAGAAGGGGUGCUCUUUAGGGUUAACGCCCAGAAGAGCCGCAGUGAAUAGGCCCAAGCGACUGUUUAUCAAAAACACAGGUCUCUGCUAAACCGUAAGGUGAUGUAUAGGGGCUGACGCCUGCCCGGUGCUGGAAGGUUAAGAGGAGUGGUUAGCUUUUGCGAAGCUACGAAUCGAAGCCCCAGUAAACGGCGGCCGUAACUAUAACGGUCCUAAGGUAGCGAAAUUCCUUGUCGGGUAAGUUCCGACCCGCACGAAAGGCGUAACGAUUUGGGCACUGUCUCAACGAGAGACUCGGUGAAAUCAUAGUACCUGUGAAGAUGCAGGUUACCCGCGACAGGACGGAAAGACCCCGUGGAGCUUUACUGUAGCCUGAUAUUGAAAUUCGGCACAGCUUGUACAGGAUAGGUAGGAGCCUUUGAAACGUGAGCGCUAGCUUACGUGGAGGCGCUGGUGGGAUACUACCCUAGCUGUGUUGGCUUUCUAACCCGCACCACUUAUCGUGGUGGGAGACAGUGUCAGGCGGGCAGUUUGACUGGGGCGGUCGCCUCCUAAAAGGUAACGGAGGCGCUCAAAGGUUCCCUCAGAAUGGUUGGAAAUCAUUCAUAGAGUGUAAAGGCAUAAGGGAGCUUGACUGCGAGACCUACAAGUCGAGCAGGGUCGAAAGACGGACUUAGUGAUCCGGUGGUUCCGCAUGGAAGGGCCAUCGCUCAACGGAUAAAAGCUACCCCGGGGAUAACAGGCUUAUCUCCCCCAAGAGUUCACAUCGACGGGGAGGUUUGGCACCUCGAUGUCGGCUCAUCGCAUCCUGGGGCUGUAGUCGGUCCCAAGGGUUGGGCUGUUCGCCCAUUAAAGCGGUACGCGAGCUGGGUUCAGAACGUCGUGAGACAGUUCGGUCCCUAUCCGUCGUGGGCGUAGGAAAUUUGAGAGGAGCUGUCCUUAGUACGAGAGGACCGGGAUGGACAUACCUCUGGUGUACCAGUUGUCGUGCCAACGGCAUAGCUGGGUAGCUAUGUGUGGACGGGAUAAGUGCUGAAAGCAUCUAAGCAUGAAGCCCCCCUCAAGAUGAGAUUUCCCAACUUCGGUUAUAAGAUCCCUCAAAGAUGAUGAGGUUAAUAGGUUCGAGGUGGAAGCAUGGUGACAUGUGGAGCUGACGAAUACUAAUCGAUCGAAGACUUAAUCAA